AUUGCCGGAGAGUUUCUGCAAUAUGCUACUGCAGUCCAUAUGCUUAUCAAUUAUGAGGAUUUUUGGCUUUCGGCUCUGGAAAAUAUGAGAAAUAUGGGCAAUUACUCUCUGAAGAAAGAGAUGGGGUUCCACCAUGUAGCCCCGGCUGGUCUUGAGCUCAUGAGCUCAAGCGAUUCACCUGCCUCAGCCUCCCAAAGUGCUGGGAUUACAAGUGUGAGCCACCAUUCCUGCCUCUAUACCUCUAAAGGUGUUGAAUAAUUUGAAUGGGAAUUUGAAGGUCCAUGGCUUCCAAACCAGCAGGAGUUAAGGCUUAAUUGCUUGGAAAUACAUUUUCAUGGCUGAUACCAGUAACAGAAAAAUGUCUGUAUGUCAAGAGGCUCUGUACUAAUCAGUUAACCAUAACAUGUGCCACCCCAUACCUUGGGCCAAUGUAACUGUUAACAGCUUGAAGCUAUUAAAAAUGUACCAAUGGA
rnacentral:lncRNA from 10 species